UUUUGGACCAACAUAAACGUCGCACAGGUGACCGUAGUGGCAAGAGGAGGAGCCUUAAAGAGCCCUGUCUUUGUCUAUAGCGCCGCCAGCAGGGUUGGAUCAAAUGUUCCAGGUCUGUUAACGGUAAAGUAAGCAGAGCAAACGGUCCAUCGUCGGGAGGCCACGAAGAGCGGUGAUUUGUUCGUGGUCGUCCGAUCCAGCCCUGUGCCAAAUCACCCAGAAGCAGAUGCCCCUGAUCCAGCUCCCUGGCACCUCCUCGGCCCACCCUCCUCUCUCCUGGCCGGACGGCUCCGGAGUCAUGGGAAUCAGGGAUGCUGUCACUCAUCAUCAGCCAGUCAAGUGGGACGCCAGAGCUUUAUAUGGAUGCCGGAGCGGAGAGGCUAGGAAUGACGACCAGCCAGCGGCUGUGGAUCCCCCAGCUGCUGGUCCUGUUAUUGUUAGUUGUCCCAAAAAGAGUGCACCGGCGAGGACCGAGCAACAGAAACGGCUGCAACUUCUCCCGAUGAUAAAUGAAUCUGUCAUGCAUUUGUGUAUGGUGGCUGCACCUGGAUGUCCAUGCUGAACGACACGGACAGAGUCUGUCCACAUCGGAGCCAGUGAGCAGGAAGUCGACACAUUUCACACCAU